rnacentral:rRNA from 1 species
AAUGCCCCAUGGUGAUGUCCUCAGGCAUCUGAGGUCAUCUAAAGAUCCGUCGGAUGGGGAUAGGCUCGCGUGACAUUAGCUAGACGGCGGGGUAACGGCCCACCGUGGCGACGAUGUCUAGGGGUUCUGAGAGGAAGGUCCCCCACACUGGAACUGAGACACGGUCCAGACUCCUACGGGAGGCAGCAGUGAGGAAUAUUGGUCAAUGGCCGGAAGGCUGAACCGGCCAUGCCGCGUGAAGGUCAGUGCCCUAUGGGCGUUAAACUUCUUUUGUGCGGGAGCAAUAAUGGUCACGUGUGGCCAGACGAGAGUACCGUACGAAUAAGCAUCGGCUAACUCCGUGCCAGCAGCCGCGGUAAUACGGGGGAUGCAAGCGUUAUCCGGAUUUAUUGGGUUUAAAGGGUGCGUAGGCUGUGAGGUAAGUCAGCGGUGAAAUGCCCCCGCUCAACGGGGUGAAGUGCCAUUGAUACUGCCUUGCUGGAAUGCGGAUGCCGUGGGAGGAAUGUGUGGUGUAGCGGUGAAAUGCAUAGAUAUCACACAGAACACCGAUUGCGAAGGCAUCUCACGAAUCCGCGAUUGACGCUGAUGCACGAAAGCGUGGGUAUCAAACAGGAUUAGAUACCCUGGUAGUCCACGCUGUAAACGAUGAUGACUAACCGUCGGCGAUACACAGUCGGUGGCCAAGC